ACAGAUGAGGAAACUGAGGACCAGAGAAAACAACUAGUUUUCCAGAGCUCUCACCAUUGUCAGGAUGACCACUGUGAAAGGAUAAAUGUCAUUCCCCUGUCCCCCGCCCCAUUGUGGUGGCUUAGAGAUGAUGCCUGCAACAUCUUCGACAUUCUACACAUGGGAGUUGGGUUCUAAUUCCCUCCCUUGAUCCGGGAUCGCCUUACUGACUCGCUUGGCCAGUAGCACGCAGUGGAAGUCAAUGUCUGGAACUUUCAAGACAUCUCCCUUCCAACUCUUGGCGCUUCUGCUAUCCAGAACCACAUCAGCUUCCUGAACAGACCAAUGUCCACCUGCACCUGGGCCUCUGCAUGUCUCUUUCCUCUGCCUCAAGAGUGGAUCCACACCUUCCUUCUUCUAAGUGUAAUUAAAGAGGCCCUUUGUGCCGCCUUCAGAUUUUUUUUUCUUGUCCCAACUUUUCCUGUGCUCUUGUCUCCGUGGAACUAUUCAUACAGGUCAGUAUCAUUUUCCUUCUAGAAAAUGAGUCCAUUGGAAAGCCUCCCGGUUAGCCAUAAAACUUGAGAUCCCAGGGAAAGAUGUGGUCUUUCUUGCUGGAGACUGACUCAGAGAUUAUUUUCAUGAAGCCAAGGAGUUUAAGCUCAGAGCCCCUCCCUUGUUUAAAUCCCCUCAAGGACCUGAGGGUAAGAACCCUAGUAUUGUGUCCUAGGGGCGAUAUAUUUUA
rnacentral:lncRNA from 1 species